GGGGUGGGACGGGAUGAGAUAGGAUGGGAUGGGACGGGGCGGGAUGGGGUGGGGACAGGGAUAGAAUGGGAUAAGGCAGGGAAGGACAGAAUGGAGUGGGAUGGGAUGAGGUGAGAUGGGAAUAGGGUCAGAGGGGGUGGCACAGAAUGAGGUGGGGUUAGGAUAGAGCGCGGACAGGAGGGGAUAGAAUAGGGUGAGACAGUGCGGGAUAGGAUGGGUAUAGGACAGGAUGGGAUAAGAUGGAAUGGAGCGGAGUUGGACGGGGUGGCACAGAAUGGAGUGGGGACAGGGCAGGGUGGGAUAGGAUGGCGUGGGACAGAAUGGGAUAGGAUCGGAUGGGAUGGCACAGGUUGGGAUGGGGACAGGAUGGAGACGGGACAGGGAUAGAAUGGAAUGGGAUGAGACGGGACAGGAUGGGAUGGAACAGAGUGAGAUGGGAUGGCACAGGGUGGGAUGGGGACAGGACAGGAUGAGGAAAGCAUCACAUGGAGUGGGAUGGGGAAAGGAAGGGAUGGAAUUGGAUCAGAUGGGAUGGCACAGGUUGGGAUGGGGGCAGGACAGGGACAGGAUCAGAUGAGGUGGGAUGGGACAGGAUGGGGUAGGGAUGGGAAUGGGAGAGGACAGGAUGGGACAGGAUAGGAUGGAAUAGGAUCAGAUGGGAUGACGCGGAAUGGGGAGAGGACAGAAUGUGGUUGGGAUGGGGAUAGAACAGAAUGGAACGGGAUGAGAUAGGAUAGGGCAGGGGUAGGAUAGGAUGGAAUGGGACAGGGUUGGAUGGGGUGGCACAGGAUGGGAUGGGGACGGGACGGGAUGAGGACAGGGUGGGAAGGGCGGCAUGAGGAUGGGAUGGGACAGGAUGGGGAUGGGAAGGGACGGGAUGGGGUAGGAUCGGAAGGGAUGGCACAGGACGGGAUGGAAUAGGGACAGAGGGGGUGGCACAGGUUGGGGUGGGGACAGGGCGGGAUCGGAUGGGGUGGGAUGGGGGUGGGACAGGUCGGGAUGGGACGGAACGGGAUGAGAUGAGAUGGAUGGGACGGGAUGGGCUGAGAUGGGAUGCGACGGGGUCAGACGGGGCGGCACAGGUGGGGACGGGGACGGCGCAGGGACGGUCCGGGGGCGGGAAGGGGCAGCGUAGGAUCGGAUGGGAUCGGAUAGGGAUAGAGCGGGUCGGAACGGGACGAGAUAGGACAGGGAUAGGACGGGGCGGAACGGGCCGGGCUCGGAAGGGCCGGCACGGGACGGGACCGGCCGGGUCGGCAC
ensembl:lncRNA